UCCCUCUCCUCAGAGUCAUUUCUGCCACGCGGUAUUGAAAUAGAUGACAAAUUCAGUCUCUGUCAGGCAGCCGAUGUACACCUGAGAGCCUUUCCAGCGCUCUCGCAGUAUGUUUUUCAAAGUGGAAAAUUUUCUCAUAAAACUUCAACUCUCUUCAUCUGUCCCCUGAUGCGUUCUCUCUCUCUCUCUCACUCUCUCCUUCUCUCGGUCCCAGAGGUCUGUCGCAGCGCAUUUGAGCUACCGAGCUUUAGAGAAGCUAUUAAAUGUCCUUUUGUUCAAAUUGAUUAACAGCAAGGACACCAUUAAUUGAAAAAUAUGCACCAAAUUAAAAGAAAGUGAGCGAGGGAAGACAGAUACGGGCCAAGAAAGCUAAUAAUCCAUAAAUAUGGAUGGACGGCACACAAGCUAUGAAUCAUUUCUGACUAUUUAUGUUCAAAAUCCGUGACCUGCACAGAGGUCACUCGUAGAUUACUCUGUUUAAAAGGAUUAUUUCUACCCCUCAUAACCCUAUUAGCUCUGUAUCGCAGCUCAAAGACACUGUGGCCUGUUAGCCUAAUUAAAACUAAUUACUGAUGAAAGCUUGAUGUAAAGCAAAGCUGGGGCGACACUCUUGUCAACACAGCUAUGAGCUGUCUCUCUCUCUUUCUCUCAGUGGAGGCCAUCUGUUGGAGGUGAUUAAUCGAGAUUACAGUGACCCUCGGUGUGGGACUUACUCGGGCCGUGGCGGUAUUGCGUUGCCUCACUGCGCCGGCUCUUCACGCUCCGCUUAAUUCAUGUCAUCGGGCUCCAAAGAUCAGGUCCUACAGGGGGGCUCGUAACCUCCUCCAGGAAACGCAUCUGUGGAAAGGUCGGUUGCAGUACAUCACCGAGCCUCAUCUGACAUCCGACCGCCAUAGCGCUUGGCUCAGGGGAGACUCCCACACUGGCCCGUGAGUGGAUUAGCAUUUUAACUGAGCAAUUCCGGCAGAGACCCAUUGCCUUUCUGGGAGACCACUGAAAUGACGUUGUUCUUACCAUAGCCAAUGGCACAAUGCCCACAAGGUCCUUCUGUGCCAGGUGGAUGUGCGUCUCUGUUUCCUCCGUGCCAGGCCUGAUGCCUGGGUAUUCCACUGCCCAGGAAAACGACCUGCUGCCUACAGCACUUCCAC